AUCAACUUUCGAUGGUAGGAUAGAGGCCUACCAUGGUGGUAACGGGUAACGGGGUGUUAGGGCACGACACCGGAGAGGGAGCCUGAGAAACGGCUACCACAUCCAAGGAUGGCAGCAGGCGCGCAAAUUACCCAAUCCCGACACGGGGAGGUAGUGACAAUAAAUAACAAUACGGGGUUCUUUCGGAUCUCGUAAUUGGAAUGAGUACAAUUUAAAUCUCUUAACGAGGAACAAUUGGAGGGCAAGUCUGGUGCCAGCAGCCGCGGUAAUUCCAGCUCCAAUAGCGUAUAUUAAAGUUGUUGCAGUUAAAAAGCUCGUAGUUGAAUUUCGGGACCAAUCUGCCGGUCGUGCCUCCGGUACGCACUGGUUUUAUUGGUUUCUCCCUUCUGACGAACCAUGAUGUCAUUAAUUUGGUGUCAUGGGGAAUCAGGACUGUUACUUUGAAAAAAUUAGAGUGUUUAUAGCAGGCUCACGCUUGAAUACAUUAGCAUGGAAUAAUGAAAUAGGACGUUUGACCCUAUUUUGUUGGUUUCUAGGAUCGACGUAAUGAUUAAUAGGGAUAGUUGGGGGCAUUAGUAUUCAAUUGUCAGAGGUGAAAUUCUUGGAUUUAUUGAAGACUAACUACUGCGAAAGCAUUUGCCAAGGAUGUUUUCAUUAAUCAAGAACGAAAGUUAGGGGAUCGAAGACGAUCAGAUACCGUCGUAGUCUUAACCAUAAACUAUGCCGACUAGGGAUCGGAUGAUGUUAAUUUUUUAAUGACUCAUUCGGCGCCUUACGGGAAACCAAAGUGUUUGGGUUC
rnacentral:rRNA from 1 species